rnacentral:rRNA from 1 species
UAGGGAAUCUUCGGCAAUGGACGAAAGUCCGACCGAGCAACGCCGCGCGAGUGAAGAAGGUUUUCGGAUCGUAAAACUCUGUUGUUAGAGAAGAACAAGGACGUUAGUAACUGAACGUCCCCUGACGGUAUCUAACCAGAAAGCCACGGCUAACUACGUGCCAGCAGCCGCGGUAAUACGUAGGUGGCAAGCGUUGUCCGGAUUUAUUGGGCGUAAAGCGAGCGCAGGCGGUUUCUUAAGUCUGAUGUGAAAGCCCCCGGCUCAACCGGGGAGGGUCAUUGGAAACUGGGAGACUUGAGUGCAGAAGAGGAGAGUGGAAUUCCAUGUGUAGCGGUGAAAUGCGUAGAUAUAUGGAGGAACACCAGUGGCGAAGGCGGCUCUCUGGUCUGUAACUGACGCUGAGGCUCGAAAGCGUGGGGAGCAAACAGG